AAAAAAAUAUUUUUUUGCUCAAAUUUUAUGUCACAUUCUGAAUAUAAGGCUUUUUAACAUUUGUUUAUGAAAUUUUGAAUCAAAUCAAUGAAUUUAAUGCCAAUUUGUAAAACCAAAUUCAAUAAUACAAAUAAUAGUGAACUACAGACUAAUUUCUUUUAAAUGAUCAGAGCAAAGUUGUUAUUGGGUAAAUUUACAACACAUUUUAGUGUUCUAAAAAUUUAAGCUGCCAAAAAAUGUGGCUGUAACAUUGCUUCUCCUUUAAAAUUUAAUGUUAGAUUAAUUAGAUUUAUAUAUGUAAUCAUGUUAGGAAAAUAUUGAACUGCCAAGAGCAUUUUCCAUGUACAAGUAUUCAAUAUUUAUAAGUCAAACCUGUACUGUCUCAGCGUUCUGAUAUUAUUGGUUAUUUUUAUUACAUAUAUUAUAUUUUUAUAAUUGAAUAGCUGUGAUCAUGUAAAAUAAAAUGAAGUGCCU
rnacentral:lncRNA from 1 species